rnacentral:rRNA from 1 species
GACGAACGCUGGCGGCGUGCUUAACACAUGCAAGUCGAACGAUGAACUGGCAGCUUGCUGCUAGGGAUUAGUGGCGAACGGGUGAGUAACACGUGAGUAACCUGCCCUGGACUCUGGGAUAACCCCGAGAAAUCGGAGCUAAUACCGGAUAGGACCCUGUACCGCAUGGUGUGGGGUGGAAAGUUUUUUUGGGUCUGGGAUGGACUCGCGGCCUAUCAGCUUGUUGGUGAGGUAAUGGCUCACCAAGGCGUCGACGGGUAGCCGGCCUGAGAGGGUGACCGGCCACACUGGGACUGAGACACGGCCCAGACUCCUACGGGAGGCAGCAGAGGGGAAUAUUGCACAAUGGGCGCAAGCCUGAUGCAGCAACGCCGCGUGCGGGAUGACGGCCUUCGGGUUGUAAACCGCUUUUAGUAAGGAAGAAGGGGAGUCUGACUCCUUGACGGUACUUGCAGAAAAAGGACCGGCUAACUACGUGCCAGCCGCCGCCGUAACAC